AUAAAUAUACGUCAAAUUCCAAGGAUUUCACAAAUACUACAGGAAUUAAAAGAAAAAAUUCCUCAAAAUCGAUCAGUUCAGUUAGGUGAUAUGGAGAAGACAAUUAGCUGGAUGCUGGUUCUCCUUGUCAUUGCAUCUUGUGAGUUCCAAUAUCUGCUGCAAUGUUUAACAUUAAAGAUCAUGACAUACCAACUGUGUGAAUUGCAAACUAAACACUACUUAUACAUGCAGGUUUAUCAGAAUUUUCCGAGGCACAAUUUGGGGAGACCUGUCGAUUUUCCACAUCAGACUGCAAAAAAACUAGAUGCCCUCCUGGGGGAUAUGUUUUGUGUAUCGAUGGAAAUUGCAAGUGCUUUCAAACCCAGACGUGUUCCAGUGUUAACGACUGCAAAAGCGUCCCUUGCAUCAAGUAUGGAUAUACCGUUGAUUGCGUUCAUGGUUCAUGCGUCUGCUCCCAGCAAGAUUAAACUGAAAUAAGCUACGAGUCUCCUAUACGGUUUUCACUUGUAAAUAAGAUGAAAGGAUUUAUGAGUUGUUUUACAAAUAAAUAAGAUGAAAUCAAUUUGUUCUUUAUUUAUGCAUGUUCUGUUGUGGAAGAUUAGAUACCUGAAGAAGAAAUUGAUGUUUCAUAUGUAUGCCUUUGAUGGCCAUAUAAAGGUUUAUGGUAGAAUAGGCAGGGUUACCUUCAUAGUCUUAAUCGCCUUGCAUGUUCUUCCUAUAUAUAGGCUAUGGACACUUGAAUGUUGAAUUAGAAUUCGAAAAGAACAAUAUAUACCGCAUCGAAGUCUAGGCCGAUUUGAGAUUCUGGGAAAUGUUGUAUCAGCAACCAUGUACCAGAUCGUUUUUUAGGCUCUAUUCAUCAUUUUUCCCUUUUUGCUCACAUUAGCUAGCUAGAACAUUUUCGUGUAGAACAAAACAUUAAAAGCAAUAAAUCAAAG
rnacentral:lncRNA from 1 species